rnacentral:lncRNA from 1 species
AGUGCGCCCUGGCACCAUCUUGCUUGCAUUCUGGGUAGAGUCAUGGGGUUUGGGGCGGUGUCCUCAGUGCGCAGAGCGGCUUAAAUCAGAGGCUGAGCCCGGCGCUUCCAUAUCACGCUGUACUCUAGCUAAGGACUGGGAAGCAAGUCUAUCCAAGGCUCCUUCAUGUAACCACGCGGCAGUUGGCAGGCACUAGUCCUAGACAACUGAGUUCUCCCUGAAGAAGAGUUAAAGCAAAAUAAAAACUCACAAAAAGGAAAACAACACGAAUAAAAAGAACUAGCAUGGGACCUAAAGGACGUUGCUGAACAAGGAAAAGAGCCCAUCAGAGAUCGAGAAUGCUUGUUAUUAGUAACUUAAA